GGGCCAAUAGGUAAGUGGUAUACCGACCCGCUCGCAGCGGGUAGUCCCGAGUUCGAUUCUCGGUUGGUCCA
rnacentral:tRNA from 1 species